GGGGAAUAUUGCACAAUGGGGGAAACCCUGAUGCAGCGACGCCGCGUGGAGGAAGAAGGUCUUCGGAUUGUAAACUCCUGUUGUUGGGGAAGAUAAUGACGGUACCCAACAAGGAAGUGACGGCUAACUACGUGCCAGCAGCCGCGGUAAAACGUAGGUCACAAGCGUUGUCCGGAAUUACUGGGUGUAAAGGGAGCGCAGGCGGGAAGACAAGUUGGAAGUGAAAUCUAUGGGCUCAACCCAUAAACUGCUUUCAAAACUGUUUUUCUUGAGUAGUGCAGAGGUAGGCGGAAUUCCCGGUGUAGCGGUGGAAUGCGUAGAUAUCGGGAGGAACACCAGUGGCGAAGGCGGCCUACUGGGCACCAACUGACGCUGAGGCUCGAAAGUGUGGGUAGCAAACAGGAUUAGAUACCCUGGUAGUCCACACCGUAAACGAUGAUUACUAGGUGUUGGAGGAUUGACCCCUUCAGUGCCGCAGUUAACACAAUAAGUAAUCCACCUGGGGAGUACGACCGCAAGGUUGAAACUCAAAGGAAUUGACGGGGGCCCGCACAAGCAGUGGAGUAUGUGGUUUAAUUCGACGCAACGCGAAGAACCUUACCAAGUCUUGACAUCCCUUGACAGACAUAGAAAUAUGUUUUCUCUUCGGAGCAAGGAGACAGGUGGUGCAUGGUUGUCGUCAGCUCGUGUCGUGAGAUGUUGGGUUAAGUCCCGCAACGAGCGCAACCCUUAUGGUCAGUUACUACGCAAGAGGACUCUGGCCAGACUGCCGUUGACAAAACGGAGGAAGGUGGGGAUGACGUCAAAUCAUCAUGCCCUUUAUGACUUGGGCUACACACGUACUACAAUGGCGUUAAACAAAGAGAAGCAAGACCGCGAGGUGGAGCAAAACUCAGAAACAACGUCCCAGUUCGGACUGCAGGCUGCAACUCGCCUGCACGAAGUCGGAAUCGCUAGUAAUCGCGGAUCAGCAUGCCGCGGUGAAUACGUUCCCG
rnacentral:rRNA from 1 species